rnacentral:rRNA from 1 species
GAGGGGGUCGCGGCUGAUUAGCUAGUUGGUGAGGUAAUGGCUCACCAAGGCGAAGAUCGGUAUCCGGCCUGAGAGGGCGCACGGACACACUGGAACUGAAACACGGUCCAGACUCCUACGGGAGGCAGCAGUGGGGAAUUUUGCGCAAUGGGGGAAACCCUGACGCAGCAACGCCGCGUGGAGGAUGAAGUCCCUUGGGACGUAAACUCCUUUCGACCCGGACGAUACUGACGGUACGGGUGGAAGAAGCACCGGCUAACUCUGUGCCAGCAGCCGCGGUAAUACAGAGGGUGCGAGCGUUGUUCGGAAUUAUUGGGCGUAAAGGGCGCGUAGGCGGUGCCACAAGUCACCUGUGAAAUCUCCUGGCUCAACUGGGAGCUUGCAGGCGAAACUGUGGUGCUGGAGUGUGGGAGAGGUGCGUGGAAUUCCCGGUGUAGCGGUGAAAUGCGUAGAUAUCGGGAGG